UAAGACGGAGGGUGCUAGCGUUGUUCGGAAUUACUGGGCGUAAAGGGCGCGUAGGCGGCCUGUUAAGUCGGUUGUGAAAGCCCGGGGCUCAACCCCGGAACGGCAGCCGAGACUGGCGGGCUCGAGACCGGGAGAGGUGGGUGGAAUACCCAGUGUAGAGGUGAAAUUCGUAGAUAUUGGGUGGAACACCGGUGGCGAAAGCGGCUCACUGGCCCGGUUCUGACGCUGAGGCGCGAAAGCGUGGGGAGCAAACAGGAUUAGAUACCCUGGUAGUCCACGCCCUAAACGAUGCGAGCUGGAUGUCGGGGGGCUUGCCCCUCGGUGUCGGAGCUAACGUGUUAAGCUCGCCGCCUGGGGAGUACGGCCGCAAGGUUA
rnacentral:rRNA from 1 species